UACAAUGCAGUCGAGCGGAAGGCCCUUUCGGGGGUACUCGAGCGGCGAACGGGUGAGUAACACGUGAGUAAUCUGCCCUUGGCUUUGGGAUAAGCCCCGGAAACGGGGUCUAAUACCGGAUACGACAACUCCACGCAUGUGGUGGUUGUGGAAAGUUUUUUCGGCCAGGGAUGUGCUCGCGGCCUAUCAGCUUGUUGGUGGGGUAAUGGCCUACCAAGGCUUCGACGGGUAGCCGGCCUGAGAGGGUGACCGGCCACACUGGGACUGAGACACGGCCCAGACUCCUACGGGAGGCAGCAGUGGGGAAUAUUGGACAAUGGGCGGAAGCCUGAUCCAGCAACGCCGCGUGAGGGAUGACGGCCUUCGGGUUGUAAACCUCUUUCAGUACCGACGAAGCGCCGAUGAUGGUGGUGACGGUAGGUACAGAAGAAGCACCGGCCAACUACGUGCCAGCAGCCGCGGUAAUACGUAGGGUGCGAGCGUUGUCCGGAAUUAUUGGGCGUAAAGGGCUCGUAGGCGGUUUGUCGCGUCGGGAGUGAAAACACCGGGCUUAACUCGGUGCUUGCUUUCGAUACGGGCAGACUAGAGGCAUGCAGGGGAGAACGGAAUUCCUGGUGUAGCGGUGAAAUGCGCAGAUAUCAGGAGGAACACCGGUGGCGAAGGCGGUUCUCUGGGCAUGUCCUGACGCUGAGGAGCGAAAGUGUGGGGAGCG
rnacentral:rRNA from 2 species